CACUAGGUACAUACUGGACCAACACUUACAGAUCAAGCCGCGGUGACUCCACUCGAUUCUAUCUCAUGGACAGGGAUGCCACCGCAUACAGAUACAGACAAGUACUGCAACACCUUAUUUACCAGUUACCUUUGUGCAGGAAAAAACAACAAGUUCAGUCUUGUCUACUAUCCGUUGAAGGUUGUUCACACUCUGAAAAAACAUAAACAAAUGGAAAGAAACACAUCAUUUUAGAAUAUUAGUGCACACACUUUAAUAUAGAUCAAACUACGAGUACAGCCCCUUUCAAAACAGUUGACUGAAUAUCAUCCUAUACACCAUCACAAUGUGUUAAGUGUCACAACUGUUAGAAUAUAUAACCGUAUUGUAUUUGUAUAGAUAUAUGGUUGUAUAACCGUAUUGUAUUUGUAUAGAUAUACGGUUGUAUAACCGUAUUGUAUUUGUAUAGAUAUACGGUUGUAUACGUGUGGUCCCCUAUCUUACAACAACUCACAAGAAAUGCAGCUAACUAAGUACAGACCACGAAAUAGUUAUCACAGCUACAGAGAUCAUGUAGCCUCCUAUAUACAGAUAUCCUGAAGAUUCGCAAUGAAUACUGAACAGGCAGUGGCAGGUCUUGUCUGAGAUCUUUGUAGAGGUCGAACAAUGCUAAGGAAACAACUAAUUACCUAAUCCGAAGUUUCUUACAGCAUCCAAAUUCAAAGCCUGUAAGUGCAGCGGGAACGGAAUACAUCAUGACAGGUGGAUUUGAACAGUACAGAAAAACCUUGUCAUAUCUUUGGUUAUUCUCAUUACCGCUCAUCAGUACAGAAGACAUGAAUGAAAUAAGUUGGAGGCUGAACUCGAUUAAGUAAUCUAAAAACGAGAGAAAUGAUCGGUUGUUCUGAAAGUAGUUUUCUCUGGAUGCCACCUUCAGGUUUCAAAAAAAGAAAAAAAAAACUAUGCUAGCUUUACAAUUGGAUCUGAUCAGCAAGGUCGUAUUUGCCCGUAAGGGUUUCUCUCAACUCAAAUGCAGGUGUAUCAAUUUCAGCAACACCGUGCAUCUCAAAUACUCCCUCCGUUCCUAAAUACUUGUCUUUCUAGGCAUUUCAACAAGUGACUACAUACGGAGUAAAAUGAGUGAAUCUACACUCUAAAAUAUGUCUACAUACAUCCGUAUGUGAUAUUCAUUUGAAAUGCCUAGAAAGACAAGUAUUUAGAGACGGAGGGAGUAGUACAACUGUUAUUACUGAAAGUGCAUGCCGCCUUAUGGCCAUUUGAUGAUCUCCCCCAAAGUCACGUGUUCCCUAUAGCAGGAGUAAGGAUAAACAUUCAAGCAGGAAAAAGGUACUACAAAAUUGAAUUUAAGAUGCUUCUGAAAUCUAUCUACUCAACAUAAGUACAAACAACACCGUGUGUAAUAUAAUGGUUCAUUAAUAAUUCAUACCUUGGGAACUUUAGGCAAUCUCUUCCUCGCUGAUUCAUUCACUGCUCUUCAUAGCUUUCUUCACUUCACCAUGUACUGUAGGGGCUCCAGUUUAGGACAACUGGGAGCAAACGAUAGCUUGGGUAACCACUGCAGAAUCCACGCGAAGAAGCAGUGCCCUUUCCGUCAGUAGCAUGAUCACUAUGCAGCAGUAGCGCAGAGGCAGUGCCCGAGCGGCGCUGAGAGGUUGAAUGUCGAGUGCGCCUACCGCGUACAAGUUGCACGGCCAGUGGCAUCAGGGCCUCCUCGGUCGCCUCGCCCAUUUGAGCUGCCAGUAGCACAUCAAAGUGUCCUCCUUGGUGCAUCAAGGGUUUGGAAAGGCUGAAGAAAAUAUUCUGCAACAGUUUCUAC
rnacentral:lncRNA from 1 species